GGGAUAGGUUCUUUCUUAGCAAUAAGAAAGUUAAAAUGGAAAGUGGUUAAAGUCCACUACAGCCCAAAGUUACUGUGAAACUGAUGAAUCCAAAAAUACCACUGAGAGAUAUCUUGGGAAGGUUUGGUAGUAAGAUGAAGUUAAGUCAGGAGACAUGCCUAUACUGG
rnacentral:ncRNA from 1 species